rnacentral:rRNA from 1 species
UACGUAGGGGGGCUAGCGUUGUCCGGAAUCAUUGGGCGAAAGCGCGUGUAGGCGGCCCGGUAAGUCCGCUGUGAAAGUCGGGGGCUCAACCCUCGAAAGCCGGUGGAUACUGUCGGGGCUCGAGUGCGGAAGAGGCGAGUGGAAUCCUGGUGUAGCGGUGGAAAUGCGCAGAUAUCAGGAGGAACACCGGGUGGCGAAGGCGGCUUCCUGGACCG